rnacentral:rRNA from 1 species
CUAAGGGACGAACGCUGGCGGCAUGCCUAACACAUGCAAGUCGAACGGGGGUAGCAAUACCCUAGUGGCGAACGGGUGAGUAACACAUAAGCAAUCUGCCCUUCACAGGGGGAUAACAGCGGGAAACUGCUGCUAAUACCGCAUAAGACCACGGUACCGCAUGGUACAGGGGUAAAAACGAAUCAGUGGUGAAGGAUGAGCUUAUGUCCCAUUAGCUAGUUGGUGAGAUAACAGCCCACCAAGGCGACGAUGGGUAGCCGACCUGAGAGGGUGAUCGGCCACACUGGAACUGAGACACGGUCCAGACUCCUACGGGAGGCAGCAGUGGGGAAUAUUGGGCAAUGGAGGAAACUCCUUACCCAGCAAUGCCGCGUGAGUGAAGAAGGUCUUCGGAUUGUAAAGCUCUUUGAUUGGGGACGAAGAAAGUGACGGUACCCAAAGAACAAGCCCCGGCUAACUACGUGCCAGCAGCUGC